GACGAACGCUGGCGGCGUGCCUAAUACAUGCAAGUCGAACGCAGUGGGGACGGGUGAGUAACACGUGGGUAACCUCCCAUCAGAGGGGAUAACACUUGGAAACAGGUGCUAAACCGAUACUGAUGGAUGGACUCGCGGUGCAUUAGCUAGUUGGUGAGGUAACGGCUCACCAGGGCAACGAUCCGUAGCUGGUUUGAGAGGACGACCAGCCACACUGGGACUGAGACACGGCCCAGACUCCUACGGGAGGCAGCAGUGGGGAAUUUUGGGCAAUGGGGGAAACCCUGAUCCAGCCAUGCCGCGUGUGUGAUGAAGGCCUUCGGGUUGUAAAGUACUUUUGGCAGAGAAGCGGUAUCUGCAGAAUAAGCACCGGCUAACUACGUGCCAGCAGCCGCGGUAAUAC
rnacentral:rRNA from 1 species